ensembl:lncRNA
CAGAGUCUGAAACUACCAGCUGGGAGAAAAACGAAAUGCAGAGAAAGACCAGAGAGAAGGGGGGAGAGGAUAGGGGGUAAGAGAGAAGAAGGUUUAGAAUGGUGAGGAAGUAAAAGAGAGCAGAUGAGAGAGGAGGCCAGAGGAGAGAGAGAGAGAGAGAGGGAGAGGCGAAGGGGGUUUAGUAUAGAAAUGAAGCCAGUGUGAACUUCCUUCAUUGUUGUCAAGUUGUUUGGUACGACCAGAAAGAAAGCGAGAGAGAGAGCGAGAGAGCCAGUGGCGGUGAAGGGAAGGGGGGAAUGAGAAGAGAAUGGGUGAGGGAGAAAAGUGAGAUGAGGGUGAGUUGUUUAGUUUGUGCCAGAAGGAUUGAGAGAGGGAGGGAGGGAGAGAGAAAGAGGGAGGGAGAGAGUUAGUGCUGCUGGCCAUACCAGGACAUGGGAGUUGACAGGGAGGGGGAACAGAAUCAGCCCCUACAGAACAGCAGUGGAACAACCUAAUCAGCAGCUGCCUGGCCUUAGGAACAGCUUCCUCCUCGGUUCUGUUUCUCUCCCAACGCUCAAGUCAAGCCGACGAGGCCAGAUGAGCAAGACGAGGGCAGGGGACAGAGGCCUGCUACGCAGAACUCACAGCUGAUAGAGAGGAGUGGUCCGCGGAGGCGAGAAGGAAAAGUGCAAGAUAGAAAAAAAAAAACUGAGGAAAAGAAACAGGGAGAGAAGCCCUGUCUGGUUCUGAGAGGUGACGUCACGUGGUAAAACUGUGGAUCACGCCAACUUAAUCCUAUCUAGCGUGGAUAGUGUCUCGGUGUGUAUGCAUGUAUGUGUUUAGGUUGGGUGUGCCGGUCUUUAAACCUCUGAUAAAGAUUUGGUAUUGGGUGUUCUUUCUAGGAGUGACUCAACCAUGGCAGCAUGCCUUUAAGUGUGAAUGGGCCUCUUGAUGCAGUUAUUUCCAGUCCUGAGUGAAGAAGGGUCGGGUUCAGGCCUGUGAUACAGAUCAUGGGUGUGGUGUUAUCAUAUCCAAACAACAAAUGUUAGAUGUUGGGCCUAUAAAGACCUGUUAGUGUUUUAUUUUGGGCCUAAUA